UUUGUUCGAACCAGUGUCGACACGGCUAUGGUUCAGUUACUGGUUCAGUUGCCCGCGCCGCCGUCGCCUCCGCAUCAUUUUGGAAGAAGCGGCUGGCAGGGAAGGUAAAUACGCUCGUGGAAGCAGCGAGGAGUAAAAGGUUCGCGUGCUGGCUGCUGCGUGCUCUAGGCUUCGUGUGGCGGCUGGGUGUGUUUGACGUCACUCAAAUCUAAAUCUCGUGGCCAACCUCUAGAUGUUAACGACGUUCUUGGAGCACGCUGAUAAUCUGAUAAAAAGAAAAGCGGCAUGACCUUCCAAGGAUUUUGUCGUGUGAGGAGGGCGGCAGGGAGAGCUCAGGUGACGCUGCUCUACGAACUAUUGCAGCAGAUGACCAGCACUACGACUGUUUUGUUUCAUUAUUUACUCACCGACGUGGGGAGGCGUCUUCUCGUAGUGGCGGGGCUUCAAGUAUGGUCGGUGGUGCGACCUUCUUGGAGGUUGUUGUUGCUCGGUGCCCGUCGGCUCCAAGUCUUUGGUGCCACGAUGUUGUUGCGGUGUCUUCCCUCCCCCCACCCAAUUUACAUUUUUAUCAAUUUCAAAAUAGUAGUAGUAAUGAGCGUUGUAACACUUUAGAUAUAUAUAAUAUUUAUUAUAUAAUAUUGGGAAAUAACAUUGAAUAGUUAUAUAAUAAUAACACGGGUGAUUUCCGUGAAGCGUGCCUGUCGCCUAUGGUGCGAAAUAUUUCACUCGUCAAGGAAUGGGGUCAGGAACACAUUUUUCCUCAGAACAUUACUUAUUUCAUGAUAGGCAAAAUAUAUUCAGUUACUGACUGACUGUACUUGCUCCAUUCCUAUUGGAAAGAAAAUAGGAAACCGUUUCUAGCUAGGGUCCCAAAAACACAGGGAAUCCAUUGACGCACCAUCAUCCCCCAUCACUUCUCAUAUAAUUGGAAAAGAAAAAAAAAAAAA